rnacentral:rRNA from 1 species
GACGAACGCUGGCGGCGUGCUUAACACAUGCAAGUCGAACGGAAAGGCCCUGCUUUUGUGGGGUGCUCGAGUGGCGAAAGGGUGAGUAACACGUGAGUAACCUGCCCUUGACUUUGGGAUAACUUCAGGAAACUGGGGCUAAUACCGGAUAGGAGCUCCUGCUGCAUGGUGGGGGUUGGAAAGUUUCGGCGGUUGGGGAUGGACUCGCGGCUUAUCAGCUUGUUGGUGGGGUAGUGGCUUACCAAGGCUUUGACGGGUAGCCGGCCUGAGAGGGUGACCGGCAACAUUGGGACUGAGAUACGGCCCAGACUCCUACGGGAGGCAGCAGUGGGGAAUAUUGCACAAUGGGCGGAAGCCUGAUGCAGCAACGCCGCGUGCGGGAUGACGGCCUUCGGGUUGUAAACCGCUUUCGCCUGUGACGAAGCGUGAGUGACGGUAAUGGGUAAAGAAGCACCGGCUAACUACGUG